rnacentral:misc_RNA from 1 species
UGAUAACAAGAUUUUCAUUAUUAAUUUUCCUUCAAGCAACCAGGAAAUUAAGCUACAACAUUGGAAGCUCGUAAGGCUUCCCUCAUACCAAAUGAACUGUCCAAAGAUAAAACUAUAAAGGAUUCCAGCACCUGAAAGUUAAAGUUGAAGGAACUGAUUUUACAACUCAACUGCUAUCAUCCACAACUUGAUUGUUUACAUAUAGAUUCUCCCUUCUUUUAGGGAAAACAGUAGAUUCCAGGGUUGGACCUCUAUAUUUUAGUUCAGAAGAUGUUCUGUAAUUAGGAUCAACAGAAGCAGGUCUAGUGUUGGUAUCAGUAGUGCCUGUACUAAAGGAGUUGGUUGCUGCUCCCCCCGGAUAUUGUGAAGGCGAAACAUAACUCCUUGAUGGACCUCUCAACCCACCAGCCCUUAAGUCCAUAAGUUCAUCUCUUCUUGAAGAAGAAUCGACAAAUGAUCUGUCCCCAGAGCUUGAUGCUAAUGGAGCACCAGUUGUGGCAGAUGUGGAAGUAAAAGGAUCAUCCGGUCCCCAUGAUGUAAGAGCUUCCUUCUUCUUAGCAAAGAAUUGCCAUGCUACAAAUAGAAAGAGUAUGAAGAACAACACAGGGCUUGUCCAUAGCAUUGUAUUGAAUUC